rnacentral:rRNA from 1 species
CACUGCCGAGAAAAGCCUCUAGAUAGAAAAUAGGUGCCCGUACCGCAAACCGACACAGGUAGUCAAGAUGAGAAUUCUAAGGUGAGCGAGCGAACUCUCGUUAAGGAACUCGGCAAAAUGACCCCGUAACUUCGGGAGAAGGGGUGCUCUUUAGGGUUAACGCCCAGAAGAGCCGCAGUGAAUAGGCCCAAGCGACUGUUUAUCAAAAACACAGGUCUCUGCUAAACCGUAAGGUGAUGUAUAGGGGCUGACGCCUGCCCGGUGCUGGAAGGUUAAGAGGAGUGGUUAGCUUCUGCGAAGCUACGAAUCGAAGCCCCAGUAAACGGCGGCCGUAACUAUAACGGUCCUAAGGUAGCGAAAUUCCUUGUCGGGUAAGUUCCGACCCGCACGAAAGGCGUAACGAUUUGGGCACUGUCUCAACGAGAGACUCGGUGAAAUCAUAGUACCUGUGAAGAUGCAGGUUACCCGCGACAGGACGGAAAGACCCCGUGGAGCUUUACUGUAGCCUGAUAUUGAAAUUCGGCACAGCUUGUACAGGAUAGGUAGGAGCCUUUGAAACGUG